rnacentral:rRNA from 1 species
UACGAAGGGGACUAGCGUUGUUCGGAAUCACUGGGCGUAAAGCGCACGUAGGCGGAUUCGUAAGUCAGGGGUGAAAUCCCGGGGCUCAACCUCGGAACUGCCUUUGAAUACUGCGGGUCUGAGUCCGAUAGAGGUGGGUGGGAAUUCCUAGUGUAGAGGUGAAAUUCGAUAGAUAUUAGGAAGAACACCAGUGGCGAAGGGCGGACUCACUGGCC